rnacentral:sRNA from 1 species
CUUUCUUGAUUACAUCCCAGGGUCUUCGGGUCUGGCUAUCGGCUACCGCCACGCUCCCAAUAAAGAUUACGAAUUCUCUAUUGGCCGAGACGUUUUCUGGCCACAAACUGCUCUGUCGCGAUCCCCUUCUCUUACCUCGCCAGGUCGCCUCCACCGGUGGCCAGGAAGACCCUUUGCAUGCCAGCGGACUCCGAUAUGCCCACCAUCGCUUACGAGAAGCUUCACCCUUCUGAUCUUCCGGUUCAUAUGAGCGAGUGUGCGCUUGACGGCUGUCAACUCCAGGCGCCUGACCGGCUGACAUCGCGAUCCUAGGAAAGUCGCCACCUCCCGCGGACACCGUUAUGCCGACCAUCGCUUAUCAGGGGCUUUCCCCUUUUGGUCUUCCGGUUCAUAUGAGCGAGUGUGCCGGCUCCAGCACAAGGGGCCGCGAUGACAGAAUCGUAUCCCAGCAGACACAGAACACAGCAGGACAGAAGCGCACCCCUUGCAAUAUCCGAAACUAGCAAGCCAUCGUCAUCCUUCGACCCGACCACCGACCGCAAGGACUUUGACUAUGUCAACCAAGGGGCUACGCGGGCUAAUAGACUCUAGAUGUAGCUCGUAGUUGUUAGGUUUAAGAAUAUACGCGUCCAUUUAUUUAGAUAGUAGAUA